rnacentral:rRNA from 1 species
CGUUGACCUCGGAUCAGGUAGGAAUACCCGCUGAACUUAAGCAUAUCAAUAAGCGGAGGAAAAGAAACCAACAGGGAUUGCCUCAGUAACGGCGAGUGAAGCGGCAACAGCUCAAAUUUGAAAUCUGGCCCUAGGCCCGAGUUGUAAUUUGCAGAGGAUGCUUUUGGCGCGGUGCCUUCCGAGUUUCCCUGGAACGGGACGCCAUAGAGGGUGAGAGCCCCGUCUGGUCGGACACCAAGCCUCUGUAAAGCUCCUUCGACGAGUCGAGUAGUUUGGGAAUGCUGCUCAAAAUGGGAGGUAUAUGUCUUCUAAAGCUAAAUACCGGCCAGAGACCGAUAGCGCACAAGUAGAGUGAUCGAAAGAUGAAAAGCACUUUGGAAAGAGAGUUAAACAGCACGUGAAAUUGUUAAAAGGGAAGCGUUUAUGACCAGACUUGGGCCGGUUGAUCAUCCAGCGUUCUCGCUGGUGCACUCUGCCGGCCCAGGCCAGCAUCAGUUCGCUGCGGGGGAUAAAGGCGUCGGGAAUGUGGCUCCUCGGAGUGUUAUAGCCCUUCGCGCAAUACCCUGUGGCGGACUGAGGUUCGCGCAUUCGCAAGGAUGCUGGCGUAAUGGUCAUCAACGACCCGUCUUGAAACACGGACCAAGGAGUCGUCUUCGUAUGCGAGUGUUCGGGUGUAAAACCCCUACGCGUAAUGAAAGUGAACGCAGGUGAGAGCUUCGGCGCAUCAUCGACCGAUCCUGAUGUUCUCGGAUGGAUUUGAGUAAGAGCAUACGGGGCCGGACCCGAAAGAAGGUGAACUAUGCCUGUAUAGGGUGAAGCCAGAGGAAACUCUGGUGGAGGCUCGCAGCGGUUCUGACGUGCAAAUCGAUCGUC